AACGCGAAGAACCUUACCAGCUUUUGACAUGUCCCGUAUGAGAAACAGAAAUGUAUCUCUUCACUUCGGGUGGCGGGAACACAGGUGCUGCAUGGCUGUCGUCAGCUCGUGUCGUGAGAUGUUGGGUUAAGUCCCGCAACGAGCGCAACCCUCGCCCUUAGUUGCCAUCAUUCAGUUGGGCACUCUAAGGGGACUGCCGGUGAUAAGCCGCGAGGAAGGUGGGGAUGACGUCAAGUCCUCAUGGCCCUUACAGGCUGGGCUACACACGUGCUACAAUGGCGGUGACAAUGGGAUGCAAUGGCGCGAGCCUGCGCAAAUCUCAAAAAGCCGUCUCAGUUCGGAUUGCACUCUGCAACUCGAGUGCAUGAAGUUGGAAUCGCUAGUAAUCGCGGAUCAGCACGCCGCGGUGAAUACGUUCCCGGGUCUUGUACACACGC
rnacentral:rRNA from 1 species